GGACAGCAUGCGAGGCAAGUUUGAAGCUGGGCGUGCAUUUUUGUACAAGUUGUGAACGACGUGUGAAGUCUAAAACUUCAAGAAUAUAAAGAAUCUUCUCAUACAACUGCAAGAAUAAAGAAUCUUCUCAUAAAACUGCUACGAUAGAAGAAUUUACUGGCGAAAAAUGUAUGUAUAAAGGUAAUUCAAACCGAGUAUUUGAUUCAAACUAACGGCUUUUGCGAUUGCCGAUCGGCGGUCGGUUGAAACCAGUUUUAUUUGAAAUUUUACUGCUAAAUGUUAUCAGUUUUGAUUCAAUUUUCAGCCUUCAUGGCUCAUGCAGUACUUUCAGGUAGCUAAUAUGUUUGUAUUUCCUUUAUUUUAGAACGAAAUUGUCCAACGAAAUUGUCGAGAAAUUUUUGUACAGGUACAUUGAUCAUUGUAUGCAUUAAGAUGGAUUCAGCUUUUGAGUUUUGUAUUAAUCUAUUUAAGAUAAAACGUUCCUUCAGGAUUAAUAAGUAUUUAGAGACUGGUUGACUCGGAUUUUAACAAAUUUUUACCCGAGAAAUGUGGCCAUUUGUCUGCGUUCUGAACACGUGUUCGGCAGCACAACUUGCAGAUACUGAAAUAAUUUGAUGCAUGCAUGGUUGUACUUCAUCCCGAAGUUUGAAAGCUACAAAUUGCGCGUGUGAUUUGUCAUUGCUUUCGCGUGAAAAUUUUAACGUGUUACCUUUAUUUUCUAGGCCUUAAAGCAAAACUGCAAUCGGCCAGUAAAUGUGCGACAACAGGUGAAUAUACUUUUAAUAUAUAGAUGGGUUUUGGAGAUGGAAUAUUCGAAGGUAGAUUUAUACCUAAUGGGCGCAGUUGUGAAAAAUACAACUUCAAGCCCUCUGGAGUGAUCGCGACGUGUGGCUCUGCGAUUUCGGUACAGCGAUCUAACCGACUGAGCUUCCGAGUCCAGUAGCUGAGACCUAUAUUCCUAUGAACUUUACUGUUCAAAUGCUAAGCAUUUUGCCAUCUCGUUUGAUAGAUCAAAAACUAUUUUAACCGAAAACAUGCACAGACCCUUUUAUGAAUGGUGAACAGGCUUCUCCUUCGUACGACAGCCCCAUCCCACAGUGUGAGCUCUGUGCUUCAGGUGUGUUGAUAAAUGUAGAUAAGUCAAUGGCAUUAAAAUUAUUGCUUUCCUUACCAUGCAUGGUUGCAUUUUCUUAUUUUUUAGAAAAAAAUUGCCAUAUACAGAGAAAGAUGACUUCGUCUUUGGGACUUCAGGAUAAAAACCAACGGUAUGUUCCUAGUUAUUUUGCCUUAUUGACCGGUUUUUAAUAUUAUCCAGAUAGGAUAAAAACGACUCUUGUACACACAAUUAUAUUUAUAAUAACUAAAUGUUAAGCUAUCUUUAAAAGCGAUCAAAUUGUUUUAAUAGGCUUUUUCAUAUAAUGAGUAGAAAUGAUAUUCAGCUUUUGUAUUGGCCUAUUGCUUUUAAUGUCGAGAUAAAACAUCUGGUGCUUACGUAAAGGACUACUGAGUUAACAUGAACCGAAGACGAAGCGCGUAUAAAACGAACGUAUAUUCAGUUAUGUAAGUUUGCAAACGUAAGAAUUUAGCCGUUGACGCUUUUAUUUGUUUUUGAAAACUGAAAAUCGCGUCCAAGAGGUGUAAAAUCAAGAUUGUAUGCAUGUGCACUAUAAACAAAAAGAAGUGUUUUCGUGUAUAAGUGACGGUCUUUUCACGUCCGAAGUGAAGAUCUGCAUGUUGAUUUUCUCGCAAAUUCAUUUCAAUUUGCUUAGUUGACCUGCAUCGCACAUGAUUUUUAAUUUUUGACGCGAGAAUGUGCGUAGUUUUUUAUGCAAAUUUUGAAGUUUACAAUUACGUUAAUUCGCCUUGCUUGAAAGCAGUUAUACAAUACACAUUGUAGAAGACAGUUUUUGUACGAAUAUAUUCUACCAACGAAUAGAGUAGAGGCAGCCAAUAGGGAAUGAACGAUUGUUUCGUUUCGAGGCUAUUCGUUCGUUUACGUCCUUCGGUGCAUAACUGAAUACUUGAAGCUAUUCUAUAGUGAAGGGGACCGCGUUUGGCAACGUUUUGGAUUUCGCUCGUGAAAUUUGUCAAUGCUUUCGAGUGUCGGAAAAUUUUAAUGUGUUAACUAUUUUCUAGGAUUGAAAGCAAACCUGCAAAAUACCACCACGUGCAAGACGACAGGUGAAUACUUUUAAUAUAUAGAUGGGUUUUGAAGAUGAAUAUUCGAACGUAAAUUUAUAUACAUAGUCAUGCGGCACUGCGAUUCCGGUGCAGAGAUCUAACUGACUAAGCUUUCAGAGUCCAGUAGUUGCUGAGAGUCUAUAUUACUAUAAACUGUAUUGUUCAAAUGCUAAGCAGUUGGGCAUUUCGUUUGAUAGACCAACCGGCACUAUUUAAGGUGAAAAGGUUUCAUACAACGCCCUUGUCCCUACGCCAUUUUCUUACCAAGUUUGCAUUUUCUAAUUUUUAGAAAAAAAUCACCAUAUCCAGAGAAAGAAGACUUUCCUAAAUGAGAAACUUGGAAGACUUUUGAGGACAAAUUUGGUGAACUUCGGCCUUUCCUAAAUGCAUACAAAUGCAAAAAUUACAAAAUAAUAAAUACGGAAUUUCAUCGUACUUUUUCAUCACAAAAUGCAUGAACUGGAAGAUGCUGGUAAUGUUCGACUGUGGUGCUAAUUUUCACGGGUGGCAAUUGUGUGUGCGUGCGGGAUGGCGCCGUCCUUCACGUACUUCCUUCGGGCCAAUUGACAUGCGCGGGGAAUUAACAUUAUAGCCAGACGUUCGACGUAUGUUACAGUUAUUAACAAGGUUGGCACUAAUUUUCAGACCUUGCUAUACGCUCAAGUCCAAACUAAGUAUGUGUCAACAAUCUAGUUUUGUUUAGGCUUUAUAACACUCUACUGUUUAUCUUGCUUGAAUUUUCAUUUUUUUUGGAUUACAGUCUAGUUGAACCAACCCUGUUAUUGAAUUUAACUGACUGUUUCGAAUAAUGAGCAAAUACAACUGAUUUAUGGGCCCGUCUUUUGAAUUUUCUGUAUGUUCGAAACAAUAGCUAGGUAGAAUUGUGUGACUUUCCGGACACUAAAACAUAGGAGUGAGAAAUGACAGUUGCAAUGAGUUACAGAAGAGUGUUAUUGUCUGUAUCUAUAUACUGGUUUCCAGGCCUUGCUUUAUGCUAACGGUCUUGCACUCGUUUCCAGAGUGAGAAAAUGCAUGCAUGAUAUUGCAAGUCAAUACUAAAUGAUUCGGCUAUAAGGGAUGAGUUAAUUGUUCGCGAUUCAGUGUUCUUAGUCGUGCGGAUUUCAUGUUUGAUAUUCGUGUUGUGUUAGGGGAUACUCGGGUGGCUGAUCAUUGCUCAAAGGGAAGGUAUCUUAGGGGAAGGAGAGCCUCAUUUGUAGUUCGCUACAAUUGUGGAACCGGCCUCUCUUCUCAUGGCAUCCUCCGGGAGUUUGUUAUAACAUCCUUGGUCUAACAUCCUUGUUAGAACAGCUUGUUAGCAGGCUUGAUCGGUUUAACCUUGGUAGUUUAUAAUCACGCGGUCUCUGAGGCGAUGGUACACAACAGUCCCAAUUAAGGGUGAAGGUGCUGUUAAAUAGCUGACGAUAGAGAUAGGUUGUAACUUCUAGCGUAAUUCGGAUGAUGAACAUUGAAUUCCUUGCACUCAUUCACUAAAACACUGUUGACUGGGCAACUAAUACAUUCCAAUAACAACAAUUUGCAAAAAAUCCUAGGAAAUUUUGUAUUUGCAUGCUACAUGGAAUGCCUUUCGCAACCAAUAUUUGCCACAUGUAAUAUGAAAUGGAGGUAAAGAUGAUGCAACGAAGGCUAGCUCUGAAUACAAUGAAGUUAAAAUAAUAUGGAGACACAAAAGUUGAUGCAAAAUGCUGAUUGACUAUGUUAUCAAAUGGAUAUAGCAACUUAUCUACCUUUUCUGGAUUAACCUGUGCAAUAAACUGUCUUGGUAUGGAUUCAACUGUGUAAUAAACUUGUUAUGGAUUAACCUGCAUCAUAAAACUGUAACUAUAGGCCAUGCUUACAUGAUUCAUUUUUGGUACGACACGCUUAAAUUUUGGACGCGAUCAACGUUUUUUGGCCAGGCCUAUUGCGUUUAUACGACAACAAAUAAAGGUUUAUGCGCUCAAAAAUAUGAUUGGUUUGCAUGCCUCAAUUUAUGUGUGUCGUGCCAAAAAUGAACGUAAAAAGUAAACAGGUCUUGUGUUGUCAGCAGAAGUCAACUGGACAUAGCAACGUAGCAGCAGAUUGACCAGCGUUCAGUAGCUUGGAACUUACUGGAUUAACUUGUGCAAUAAACUGUCUUAUGCAUCGAUUAACCUGUACUGGUUUAACAUGAAUCAUAAAACCUCCAUCAAAUUGCAUUACAAGCUGCCCUUUGAACUCUUGACGUGCACAUGGAAACUGAAAAAGACGUUAACAUGGACUGGAGAUACUAAACUGAAAAUAGCCAUAUAGUAUUGUA